rnacentral:misc_RNA from 1 species
UUUCCGUAGGUGAACCUGCGGAAGGAUCAUUACAGAGUUCAUGCCCUCACGGGUAGAUCUCCCACCCUUGAAUAUUUAUACCUUAGUUGCUUUGGCAGGCCGCGGAAACACCAUGGGCUCCGGCUUAUGCGUGCCUGCCAGAGGAAACAAACUCUGUUUUUAGUGAUGUCUGAGUACUAUAUAAUAGUUAAAACUUUCAACAACGGAUCUCUUGGUUCUG